GUUUCAAGGAAAGGAUCUACCAAAUGAAAUUAUAUGUUUCGAUUUAGAAGAAAUGAAAGAUCCAACUAAGGCUGAAAAAAAGAAAAUGGAAUUGUUGCAAAACAUUUCAAUAGGUAUGUCUUU